rnacentral:rRNA from 1 species
AUUGAACGCUGGCGGCAGGCCUAACACAUGCAAGUCGAACGAGUGGCGGACGGGUGAGUAAUGUCUGGGAACCUGGCUUAUGGAGGGGGAUAACGACGGGAACCCUUCGAUAAUACCGCGUACCAUCGGAUGAGCCCAAGCGGGAUUAGAUAGUUGGUGGGGUAUUGGCUCACCAAGCCGACGAUCACUAGCUGGUCUGAGAGGAUGACCGUCCACACCGGGACUGAGACACUGCCCAGACUCCUACGGGAGGGAGCAGUGGUGAAUAUUGGGCAAUGGGGGCAAGCCUGACGGAGCAAUGCCGCGUGAAUGAAGAAGGCCUGCGGGUUGUAAAGUUCUUUUGUUGAAGAAGCGUUAUUCACAGAGGAAGCACCGGCUAACUCCGUGCCAGCAGCCGCGGUAAUUC